UCCAGCGGAGCUCAGCCCACCGCCUGGCAGUGUCCCCGAGCCGGCCAAGCCUCCGCCAGACGCCCCAGGAAUGCACUCGCGCUAGGAUUUGGGAGUUGCGCUUGAUUGAGCCGGAGGCGGGCUGGAACUUGUUCUCAUAGAUGGGAAGGACGGCGAGAAGCUUUCGCGGUGCCACAGCCCCACUAGCUUUGGGUUGUCAGCGCCAGUUAGGCUGUUUUAUGCUUUGCGAGCCCGUGACCUAUUUGCGGUGGAACAAAAACUAAAAAUCAAUGGAAACUCCCUCCGUACUGAUUCCUCUGCCUGUUCAUCUGGGUGGCUGCUGAGACUGAGCCUAUCAAGAGUGCUGAGGCAAUACCAAGAGACACUUUCAGAAAACAGAACCAAAUUUGCAGGUUCUCAACAUGAUGUUGGAGCCUAUAACUUAGUCUGCAAAUUCCGAACAGGGCUAAAUAUGCUCCGAUUCGGAAUGAUUUUUUUGGGAGUAGUUAGGCUGGGGAUUUCUGACUUAAAGAUGAAGGAAGACUCUAACGAGCGGGUAAAACAAGGCCAAUCUAGACAAAAGGAAGGCAAAUGUAUGAACACAGCAGCUAAGCUCAACAAGACAGCACUGUGGAAAAAAAAAUCCCUUUCUUAGACUAGUGCACUUUAAAAUUAAUACUUUAUCAUGUAAAAAGUUCAAAUUAAAGUGCCAAAAGAGCCAUGAGCCACACGUAAACACACACACACACACACACACACACACAGAGCUAAGCAAAUAGAUGGGAGGAAAAUAUAUGAAUUCCAAGUCUAAUUUAAACUGUGCUCAUAACUGUUGGGGCAAGGAGGCCAGGAUCUCCUGGUUGGCCCAGAUCUUCACUAUGUACAUCAAACUGCUGGCUGCUGGCUCCCAGAGUCCUCUUGUCUCCACCUCAUAUCCUGCAGCACCUGGGAUGCUACCAUGCUUGCUUGGGUUCCGAACAGUCUUUCCUCUCAUCUUGAAACAGUCAUCACUCUAAGGAAGGAAAAGACAAGAAAAUGAUGUACAUUCUGCUUAGGGCAGAAAUGCACAUGAUGAGCCUCCUCUCCCUGGAUAGAGAGAAGAUGCUUCUUAAACUGGCGCUGUGGCCCUUGACUUUCCUGACUCAGAGGAACACCUCCCUAGCCACAUCUAAGGGCCUGCAAGCAAUCUUCCUUCAUCAAGGCAGGUGCUUAGGGAGGAGGAGGGAAUCAAAACCCCCGUUACAGUAAGGGAACUGCUGCUGUAAGUGAACAAGAAGAGCAAGCAGCGUUCCUUGCCACAUGUUGACGUGCCUCAGUAGGAGAAAACAGAAAAAAGAAAAAGGAAGAUUGGAAUUGGCUUUUCUGCGUUCUGACUCUCCAAAAGUAGUUUCGGAUUAGAGAGGAACACCACGUGCUUUGAACUCAGUGUGACACAACUGUGGACGUCACUGUGACUGCCGUUAUACUCUCAGUGGCAGAGGCCAAUGGUGUGAGUGAGAAUCUUAACAGUAAGGUCAAAACUAUGGAAGAGGAGGACGAGACCUGGAGUACUUGUAUGAUCUCUUUGUUCCCAAGUCUUCCCCAGAAUAAUCCCUGAAAUAGACAUACCUGGCUUCUAACUGCUAUUCUGCCUCUGACUGAUGUCGUAACCUGUUAAAACUUCAGUCUUCUUUACUCAGUAGCAUCUCCUAUAAAGUUCUUAUUUUGAUCAAAGUGAUUACCACAAAAUAUGAGCAUAUUUUAUUCUUGAGAUAAAAUAUAAAUGAAUAAAUAUUAGCUUUUAAAAUGCCAUUGUACUUCAACAAAUAAAUAUU